GACAGAGGUCCCGAGCGUUAGGCGGAAUCACUGGGCUUAAAAGCGUGUGUAGGCGGAUUGGUAAGUACCUUGUGAAAUCCCACGGCUUAACCGUGGAACUGCUUGGUAUACUGCUUAUCUUGGGCCACUUAGGGGCUACCGGAACAAACGGUGGAGCGGUGAAAUGCGUAGAUAUCGUUUGGAACGCCAAUGGUGAAAACAGGUAGCUGGGAGUGUGCCGACGCUGAGACACGAAAGCCAGGGGAGCGAACGGG
rnacentral:rRNA from 1 species